AGUGAACGCUGGCGGUAGGCCUAACACAUGCAAGUCGAACGGCAGCACAGUAAGAGCUUGCUCUUACGGGGGGCGAGUAGCGGACGGGUGAGGAAUACAUCGGAAUCUACUUUUUCGUGGGGGAUAACGUAGGGAAACUUACGCUAAUACCGCAUACGACCUACGGUUGAAAGCAGGGGAUCUUCGGACCUUGCGUGAUUGUAUGAGCCGAUGUCGGAUUAGCUAGUUGGCUGGGUAAAGGCCCACCAAUGCGACGAUCCGUAGCUGGGCUGAGAGGAUGGUCAGCCACACUGCAACUGUGACACGGUACAGACUAGUCUGGGAGGCAGCAGAGGAGAGUAUUAGACUAGGGGCGGAAGGCUAGUCCAGUCCUGCCGCGCGGGGUAAAGAGGCCCGCGGGUUGUGAAGGCCAUCUGUUGGGGAAGAAAAGCAGCAAGUUAAUACCCCGCUUUUAUGACGGUACCCAAAGAAUAAGCACCGGCUAACUUCGUG
rnacentral:rRNA from 1 species